GUAUGAACACUUCAACUGUAGCACCUAGGAAACCAGAUACGCCAUUUGCUCCAGCCCUGAUGUUCUUUGGUCUUCAGCAGAAGGAAGAUUUUCAUGUGAACCAGAGGUACAUUGAAGGGUAAAAUGAUUAAUAGCCAAGUAUACACCUGAUGGCUUUUGCCUUUACAAGACUGAUCUUGUAUCUACUGGUUCACUCUGCGAAUGAUCACAACAGCCAGACCUGGGCCAGGCUGAACUCAGGAACCAGGAAUUCCUUUGCCAGGACUCGAACCUGAAAGAGAUUCUGAUGUGAGAAGUGGCAGAAAGCUUAACCUGCUCUGUACAACACUGCCCCUGAGUAUUUAUAAUGCUCUAUUUCUCAUGCUCAGUUUCUCUUGUC